UACAGAGUCGAUAACGGGAGCUAUCCUUAAUGAUGCUAAAACCCUAACCGAUAAGCAUAAGGCCAAGAUCAAAGAAUGGAAGAAGCUAAAUCUAAAAUGGAUUCUCCAUCUCUGCCUUAUGUGAACGUCGAUUCUUCUCUCCGAGCUCUCGCCGGUCAAGCUGAAGGUUUCGGCCGCUCUGACAUCAGCAGUCUUCACGGUCCACUUUAUCACGUUACUACUUUGGAAGAAAUUGAACAAGGAUACUCUAAGAAGGUUUGCAGAAACAGUCUCAUUGGAUCCAGCAAAACAUAUGCCGUGGCUUGUUGAAAACAUUAUUUUUCUUGGUCUUAUUGGAUUCAUCCAUGGAGCAGAAGAUUGGUAUCUUUUUAUUUUGUUUCCUUUCAAUUACAAAUUAGUUUUUUUCCCUUUCUGUCAUACCUGAUUUUUGGUGUUAAGUUCUGGCUUAAUUUUGUUAUAUUAUGAAGUUCCUUCAUUUGACAGAGAUAAAGUUCAUCAUUUGUCUCUUCCAAUCAAUGUAGUUUCUCCAUUAUUUGGAUUUUAGAAUGCUUCUGGGCCGAUAAGAAGUUAUAAGCUUAGAUCAUGUUUUUAGAUGGAAUUAUGAUACUGGAAGCCCUUGAUACUUUUUAUUUCUCUUAUUACAUUUUUUUUAUUCUUUUAACUUCUGACACUUCCAUUAAUAGACAAGCAUAAUAAUUAUGAAUGGAUACUGCAAUAUAUUUUUGGAGCAACUUUUCAAGUCAAUAUUGGUGCCAAUUUGAGACAACUCAAUGCUGAGAUAUUGCUUGCCUUGUUCUGGAGGUUGCUGGAGAAAUUUUUUACUACGGUUUCAUCAGGUUCCUACAAGGAUGAUGAGCAGGGUUGGCUGUGUUCACAGGAUUUCUGUCUUUUUCUCUUCAUCUAAGUCAAAACAUGUUUUCCAUAAACAUCUAAACUUUAUAGUCACAAAAUUCAAGAAUUCCCAAGGCAGAUUUUUAUCUAGAUUUUUCACUGAAGAAGGUUUUCCAUUAACUGUCCAACUGGAAAGCCUUCGCUCUUUCCUGUUUCUUUGUUCUCAAUCAGAUUAAAGUUUACUUGUCCAACUUCUGGUUCGCUGCUUAUUCUUCUGUCUAGUGAUAUUCAGGUAAAAGUGGAAAAUGGAGUCACUUUCUCGGAGAACUGCUAAGCUUAAUGGUUGAAUUUAAAGCAUUGUUACUAUCUGAUAGAAAUGUGCUUUUCUCGUUUUUUACAUCUGUUCUGGGCUGCUCACGCAAUAAUCUUCUACUGCCAGAAACAAUUGGAGAAAGGUUUGAAAAAUCUAAAAAGAAUCAGAUCAUGCAUUUCAUUGUUGGCUUUGCUCUAACCUUCCUUCUUUUGCACUAACCUGUGUUGAAUUUGUAUCUUCUUCACCUGGUGAAUGUGAAGACCUACUAUUGGAGGUGCUGUAGCAGGGUGAGCCAGCCUCUAAAGAUCCAGCUGUUUUGCUGCCUUUCAUAACUGUCUUGAGGAGUCUCACUAACUCAUUUUUUUGGAGCUAUGAGUAAUAAAAAUCAGUUAUGCUUAAGUCAGAUGAUGAAGUUGAGAAUGUGAUUGCAAAAGUACAGAAUGGAAUGGCUGAAAAAGAUGUGGUUGCAGGUCAAAAGAAAAUUGUUUCAGAGGUCGUUGAUGUGAAGCUUUCUGAACUUAACUGCAACUUCAAGCAAUCUGAUUUAACUAAAAACCAGUUAGAAAGUUGUAGAUAGAUGCAUGUAGAGAAGUUGUUAGAAGAAUUCAAAUAAUUUGUAUUUUAUGAGAUAGUUUUGUUGUAAAAAU